UUGUCUUACACCUUGGAGAAAAUAUUUUUUUUAUCCUAUUAUUUCAAAUAUCACAAUUUCGAUUCUCCCACUGAUCUUUAGUGUUUCUAUGCUACCACUAAGUCUCUCUAUAUAUCCCUUCAUUUCGAAGAAACCAAUAUGCUUUUAUAGGUAUUGUAUUUCUUUUUCUUUCUACUAUUUUCAAGUCGAAUACUCUUCACAUAGAGUCUCUUAUCUUGCUAACUCAGUAU
rnacentral:lncRNA from 1 species